rnacentral:other from 1 species
GGCGCGCGCUCGGCGGCGCGCAUGUGUGUGUGUGCAGGCUGCCAGGCGGCCCCGAGCCGGCGGGGAGCCAGUCCGCUCCAGGUGGCGGGCGGCUGGAGCGAGGUGAGACUGCGGG